rnacentral:rRNA from 1 species
UACGUAGGGUGCGAGCGUUGUCCGGAAUUAUUGGGCGUAAAGAGCUCGUAGGCGGUGUGUCACGUCGGCCGUGAAAACCUGGGGCUUAACUCUGGGCGUGCGGUCGAUACGGGCAUCACUAGAGUUCGGCAGGGGAGACUGGAAUUCCUGGUGUAGCGGUGAAAUGCGUAGAGAUCAGGAGGAAUACCGAUGGCGAAGGCAGGUCCCUGGGCUGACACUGACGCUCAUGCACGAAAGCGUGGGGAGCAAACAGG